GACAAUAUUGUAUUUAAUUUUAAUCUGCAAUCUGCCCAAUUUCUCAACAGAUAAAAUGCUCCUCCUUGCCGUACGAUAACAAAAGCUACAUUGUGUAGAUAAUGCUGUGAAGGACUGAGCAAAACUGAUUGGUGAUGAAUCAUCCACUUUAGAUUCUGGAAGGACAAACAUCAGAGUAUUUUUGUAAUGAGUAGCUGUAAGAGAACAAGAUGCUUUGGAGAUCUUAAAAUUCUCUUUUCUUAAAGGUUGUCAACAUUGGAAACUUAAGCCAGGCUAAAUGCUUGUGAGCAAUGGCUCUGCCAUUGAGAGUGAACAGCACAAGGUUUCUUGGUAUGUACAUACAGACGAUCUAACCUGAGCCACAGCAGCAUCACUUUCUGCGGAGACUGAGGUGUGCAAAACUCCCCAUCCCCAUUCCAAUGACUUUCUACAGGAGCACCAUCCUUUGCUGCGUCAUUGGUAUAGAAGCUGCCGAAAGGAUCAGCGGGCUCUCUCUCUCUCCCCCCCCCAUUUGUGUCAAUUACUGGGAGUAUUGCAGACGAAGAGUUCAAAGUAUUGUUGAGGAUCUCUAUCACCAUCACAAAAAUUCUUUGACCCACUACCAUCAGGAACAAUCAGAACGAGGACUGCCAGGCUGAGUAACAGUUUCUUCUCCCAAGCUGUAAGAUGAAUGAAUAACCUGUCACUAAGACAGUGAGUUAUUUACUGUUACCUUUGCUGCACACUACAUGCACUUUGAAUUAUUCUUUAUUGACUUAUUUAUGGUAAUGUUUUAUUUUACGUGCUAUGUGUGAUAUAUGUUUUAUUGGUGUACCAUUGUCCAGAGAAACAUUGUUUUGAUCAGUUGUAUAUAUGCACAGUCAGACAACAAUAAACUUGAAUUUGAAUUUUAACAAGGGCAUAGAAUGAGGAACAACGGAGAUGUGGUCGAUAAUGCAGGCCUGCCUUAAUUCAGCACAUUAUCCUUUGCACUGCUAGUUAUUAGACAGAGAGAAACCAUUCCUUCCACCUGGAGUCUGCACCAACUAUCAAUCAUUUUAUUCUUUCAUUUGGAAACCACACCUCCCCCCACCCCAAUUCUACCGCUCACCUAUACAUUGGGGCACCAUAAAGUGGCCAUUAUCAUACCAACCUGUGGAGUUCAGGGACGUGACUCGCGUGGCCACAGGGCAAAGGUGAAAACUGCACAGUGACAGCAGAACAGCGGGGAUUGAACCCAAGUCUCUGGGGCUGUGAGAGGAGCCAGGCCACACCACUAUCAAUAUCCUGAUUUGCCCAGCAAUGUCUCCGUGUUGCUGGCCUCCCCGAAGAGCUGACUGAGUUUGCAUUAUUACCUCCCCACCCUUUUGUAACUGGAAGGCCCCCGCUAUCGAUGAACAAGGCAGCGUCAAUUCUGCUGAAUUUCAGCAGAGCACAACACAGCCCUGUGGCCUUCACAGUUGUUCCCGAGCUUUGCCCCUCCCAAGCACAUCCAACUCAAGACAUCAGGUAAACUGUCACCAAUAUCAGAGAUACAAGUUUGCAAUCCAGCAACCACCCCAAAUUGACAAGCUGUUAUAAAAAAUAAUAAUAAUUGAAGUCUCCAUCCCUCCCAAUUGCUUUUUGAUUACUCAUUUUCUCAGGUCGCCAUGUGCUUCUUGAUCCCCCGAAACAAUAACCUGACCAGUUCUUCCGGAUCGCUAAAUUUGUCCGCACUACAAACAGCAACUCUUUGCGUUGUGCCCCCUUCCACAGGUCUGGGAAUCAGGGACAAUCAAAGUUAUGCCUGCAAUUUUUUGGGACCCUGGUUCUCUUCUUUCACAUCACUCCCCACAGUACAUUACCGGCUGUAUUACUGUCACUCACCAAUCUAGAAAACCAAAUAAGCUUCGCUGUAAAUUGCAAAAGCUUUCUUCCGAUUCAUGCAAUCUAUUAUCAAAAUCGCAAAAUCAAUUUUGGGUGAUAAAAACUAACAACCAACAUGAAAGACAAAUGCACCUCCUCCGACCCCCUGUCUUUAAGGACUAUUCCAAUCUAGUUCGGGGUUCUUAACUUUUUUAAUGCCACGGACCCUUACCAUUAACCGAGGGGGUCCAUGGAUCCCAGGUUGGGAACUCCUAUUCUAGUUUCCAUGCCGCACAGGUUCUGACAGCCCAAGAUGGUAUUCAGUCCAUUUCAAGUUGUUCUUCUCUCGCCUUGGAAACAGGAGUUCAAAAAAUAUUGUCCUUACCUUUUAUGCCACCAACCUCAUCUUGUACAAUUCCUAAUUUUAUUAUGUGCAUCCCCACACUGCUUCCCAAAAUAUCCUGCGGGGAGACUCAGGCUAAAUCCUCCAUCUCUCCGUCUGCAACACUGGCCCUUUUACAACGGGGAUUCGCUCUCCAAUUGGGCUACCUGCGUUCGGUUGCUGAUCUACCCCUUUAAUUCUUCCUCUUUGGUGAGAUGGUCCUCAGUCCGUAGUUUGUUCCGAUGAAGCAUCUCCGGGCACAGCACCCUUCAGCUCAGCACAUUACAAGCUGCUGCACUUGCACACUGGCUUCUAUCCGGACUUCUCACAUUAUUGCACCGCAUCACAAACCCUCCUCUUCUCAAAGCCUACCUAAAUCUCUCAUUUCCAGUUCUGCUGCUCCAGGGGUCGACCGAAAACGUGAACCCUUAAUGCUCGUCCCCGUGCCGCGAGUGUCGUAGCCCCGAGCGAGGACAGGAUUACAUCCAGCUGCAAAAUAGUAGAUCUAUUCACGUAUGCGGCUAUGCGUGUGUCUGGCGACGCCCCGAAAUUCUUCCUCGAUUCCUAAUUCUCUUCAGGAGAUGAUGGUGAUCCGUAUUCCUGAAUACACUGAUGGACAAUGAUGGUGUUGACAAGAGGAUACUGAAUCAUGCGACUACAGAAGUGGUACCACAGGCUUACUGUGAGUGAAUGUGGGAUACAGG